UUAUGUAUACUCGUAAUUUAUUUUUUUUAAUUUUAAAUGUAUUUAAACAGUACAGGACGCAGUUACUUAGUCAUUACAGCCUUUAAAAAACAAUUAAAUAACAAGAUUUUACGAUGUUCAUUUUUGUUGUUUACGCUGUUUCUAUCCUGUUCAUUUCGAGUAUUCAAGGAGAGCCACGACCAUUUACAAAAGAAGAUUGCUACAAAUUCCAUACGGUUGGCCACAUAAACUGUGGACUCGCCAUUGAAAUUUAUUAUUGGAACGACGAAUCAAGAAAAUGUGAAAAAACAAUAUUCGGUGGAUGUAAUGCUUCAAGGAAUAAUUUUAAAACCUUAAAAAAAUGUAAGGCGGCUACUGGCAAAAUUUGUGGUAAAAAGUAAACAGUAUUUGUGAAUUAUUUAACAAUAAAUAAACUGUUUUAAAUGA